UCGAAACCUGCAAAGCAGACCCGCGAACGUGUGUUUAUUCAACCCUCGGGACGCCGARGCGCGGGGCGGACGAGAGUCCCCCCCGGGUCGAGGCGCCCUCGCUCCUGCGACGCGUGCGUCGUUUGAGCCAACGAACCCCGGCGCGGCAUGCGCCAAGGAAAACAACAAAGAAGCGUCGACCCUCGUUGCCCCGUGCGCGGGUGCCGGCGAGGGGAAACACGACCUCUCUUGAAUGUCAAAACGACUCUCGGCAACGGAUAUCUCGGCUCUCGCAUCGAUGAAGAACGUAGCGAAAUGCGAUACUUGGUGUGAAUUGCAGAAUCCCGUGAACCAUCGAGUCUUUGAACGCAAGUUGCGCCCGAAGCCACUAGGCCGAGGGCACGUCUGCCUGGGCGUCACGCAUCGCGUCGCCCCCCUCCCAGUCCAUCCUUUGGGCGCCGGGAUGGGGGCGGACACUGGCCUCCCGUGCGCGCCCGCGUGCGGCCGGCCCAAAUGCGAUCCCGCGUCGACGGAUGUCGCGACAAGUGGUGGUUGAACUUUCAACUCGCGUGCUGUCGUGCCUGGCUCCGUCGUACGCUCGGGCAUCGUUUCGACCCAAGGGCGCCUGCGCGCGCCUCCGAC
rnacentral:rRNA from 1 species